AUACAGGUGACGUGUCCAAAAUAGGACAAAACGCGAGUCCUGAAU
rnacentral:hammerhead_ribozyme from 1 species